GACGUACGCUGGCGGUGUGCUUAACACAUGAAAGUCGAACGGAAAGGCCCUGCUUUUGUGGGGUACUCGAGUGGCGAACGUGUGAGUAACACGUGAGUAACCUGCCCUUGACUCUGGGAUACCUUCAGGAAACUGGGGCUAAUACCGGAUAGGAGCUCCUGCUGCAUGGUGGGGGUUGGAACGUUUCGGCGGUUGGGGAUGGACUCGCGGCUUAUCAGCUUGUUGUUGGGGUAGUGGCUUACCAAGGCUUUGACGGGUAGCCGGCCUGAGAGGGUGACCGGCCACAUGGGGACCAAGUAACGGACCGGAAUCCACAGAGGAGCAAAAGUAAGGAGAGUUGCCCGGUGACCGGUACCCGUAUCCCGCAGGCCCGCGGGCCCAAUAGCGGCCUUCGGUUUGUCUCCCGCUUACGCCUGUGCCGCAGCUUGAGCGACGUCACCGGGCCAAGAAGCACCGGCUCACUACGUG
rnacentral:rRNA from 1 species